rnacentral:rRNA from 1 species
UGGGGAAUAUUGGACAAUGGGCGAAAGCCUGAUCCAGCCAUGCCGCGUGUGUGAAGAAGGCCUUCGGAUUGUAAAGCACUUUAAGUUGGGAGGAAGGGCAUUAACCUAAUACGUUAGUGUUUUGACGUUACCGACAGAAUAAGCACCGGCUAACUCUGUGCCAGCAGCCGCGGUAAUACAGAGGGUGCAAGCGUUAAUCGGAAUUACUGGGCGUAAAGCGCGCGUAGGUGGUUUGUUAAGUUGGAUGUGAAAUCCCCGGGCUCAACCUGGGAACUGCAUUCAAAACUGACUGACUAGAGUAUGGUAGAGGGUGGUGGAAUUUCCUGUGUAGCGGUGAAAUGCGUAGAUAUAGGAAGGAACACCAGUGGCGAAGGCGACCACCUGGACUAAUACUGACACUGAGGUGCGAAAGCGUGGGGAGCAAACA